GGUGCAAAAAAGAUCUCCAUCACACGGUGGGGGGUGGAAAUGAGAGAUCUCAGAGGAUCUGCUCUUUUGGCCAUUUCUGUUACCAGAUUCCCAUGGCUCAUUUUUAUUUAAAAGUGGAUUUUCUGAGAACUGGAAUAGACCAGGGACUUUGGCAGAAGCCAAAUAAAACUAGGUGAAUGGGGAGUGACAGUAAUGAUUUUUCAGCAGUGACAAAUUACUUCAAGCAGGGAUAAAAGCAAGAAAAUUGGAAGAAAUGCUUUGACGCAAAGUAAGAGCAUACAAAUUGUAAGCAUCCUUUUGGACAUCUCACUGGAAAACUCUGUGUGACAGCAGGUAAAAAAAGGCUGGAGAAAAACUAGUCUGGCUCUCAGUCUGAGACCUGAGAGUGGCUGGAAGAUUGGUAAAAUGUCAAGAUGAAAAGUAAUGAUAUAUUGUUUUACAGGCUUAAAUGUACUGGUGUGGCUAUGGAUACAAGCCUGUGCCACUCUGUGGCCUUUAAAAAUGUACAUCCAUUACUCAGCAGCCUCACCCACCCACUGUGUCUUCUGGUUGUUACAGUCCUUCAUUGGGUUUCAGUUCACUUGUAAGAUCUCAAGGUAAAAGCUCUGAUCAGGUUUGAAGUCUGACUGGGUUUUCCUCUGGAUGAAAUAUCAGGAGCCUUUUUCAGUAAGUCUUGUAGUUACUUUAAAAAGGAAUGUUUGUUUUCAGACUACAUUUGAAGGCUAAAACCUAUAUUUCUUUUGAAUUCAAGAGCCUUCUGAUGUGUUUGGCACCUUAAAUCCUUCCAGGGAGGCUAAAUACCUGCACAAAACAUGCAGGUUGGAACACCACUAGAAACAGAGCCCACACCACACAAGAAAAAGAGUAAUUCCAUAUGGCUGGGUAGAAAGGACAGUCCAAAUUAAAAAGACUAAGACGUUUCAAGUGGAAGAAAGUGACACCACAGGCUCAGAAGAUUCCUGGUUUGGGAAGACUUUGCAAGAUCAGCAGCUGUUUGAAGCCAUAUACCCAGGAGUUUAGGAAAGGUGAGAAGAGGCAGCUCCUCAAGCAGUGGCACAGUUAGCAUUCAUGGAAGCACCACAGAGGAUGGUGACAAGACAUCCUUCCUCUCAGAUCACCCAUUUGGCAGGGCUUGGAUAGCUUGAAGGCCUCUAAGAGGAACAUCUCUCAGAUGUUUCUGAUCAGACCUUUGCUGUGAAGAGGAAGCUGGAAGCCUGGAUGCCCUGGGAUCUUCAGCAUGAGUUUCGCAGUGCCCCAUCAGCAGCUUCACUUCCAUUGCCAAAAGCAGGGAUGGGCACAAGCUGAGAAGAUCCAGUGCUGUGCAGUGAUGUGUAACUCAGGGGAGAGCACCUGGAGGCCAGACACCAGCACAGGCAGGUCCUUGGAAGGGCCUGGAGCCAUCCCCAAGCCAUUACUGAAGAGAUGACUAACACAUGCUGAGUGGGAACACAGAGCAGCCCUUACAGCUGGGACUGAAAACCAGAGAGCAGCUGUAAGAAGUGAAGGAAAAGCAGGGUUUUGCUCUGCAUCCACAAGCAGUGACUUCCAGCAAAAAAUGGAAACAGUCGUAUAUGUGGCAACAGGGAACUCUGAAGUGCGGGAUGUGUUAAUGACCUCAAGAGGCAAAUUGGAACUAUAGUGCAGAGCUGAGGUACUGACUUCUGUGUAACAAGUAAAAUAUGUGGGAAAUGCUUUUGGUCAGAGGACAAAGCAGAAAACAAGACUGACUUUGUGAUCCAGUGGGGAGGGCAGUUCAUUCACACUUUUCUUACAGAUUCCCUUCAUCUUCCUGUGUUGCCAGCUCUGUUUUGUGGGGUUGUUGGAGAAAAAAAAUGUGCUACUCACAUAUCCAAAUUUUUUCCAUCAGUUUGGUCUUUAAGGACUCAUGUGCAAGUCCAUCUGCACAUCUCCCCGCUUUGGUGUGACUCUUCAUGCCCAUAAACCUUUUCUCUGGAACCUUUUCUCUGAAUGUCCAAAGUCUAUCUUGACUGUCUCUUCACAGGGUCAAAUGGGAUCUAUUACCAUUAAAAGAAAACUACAUACA